rnacentral:rRNA from 1 species
CAGCGGAGGGAUCAUUAACGAGUUCCAUUCUCCUUAAUACACCCGUGAACGUUUCUUCAACUGUUCGUUGCUUCGGCGGGCGGCCCCGGGGAGGGGCCGCAGCCCGCAAGGGCGCCCGCCGGCGGCAGCGCAGCACAACUCUUGCGAUUUAGGCCCCUCUGAGAAGACACUAAAUGAGUCAAAACUUUCAACAACGGAUCUCUUGGUUCUGGCAUCGAUGAAGAACGCAGCGAAAUGCGAUAAGUAAUGUGAAUUGCAGAACUCAGCGAAUCAUCGAAUCUUUGAACGCACAUUGCGCCCGCCGGCAUUCCGGCGGGCAUGCCUGUUCGAGCGUCAUUUCAACCCUCGAGCCCUGCUCGGUGUUGGGGCCCCGCGGCCGCCGCGGGCCCUGAAAAGAAGUGGCGGGCGCGCCUGGACCCGUAGCGCAGUAAUACACCUCGCUCGCGGCGUCCCGGCGCGUGCCGGCCGUAAAACCCCUUUAUCUCAAGGU